rnacentral:rRNA from 1 species
AAAUUGAAGAGUUUGAUCAUGGCUCAGAUUGAACGCUGGCGGCAGGCCUAACACAUGCAAGUCGAACGGUAACAGGAAACAGCUUGCUGUUUCGCUGACGAGUGGCGGACGGGUGAGUAAUGUCUGGGAAAUUGCCUGAUGGAGGGGGAUAACUACUGGAAACGGUAGCUAAUACCGCAUAACGUCGCAAGACCAAAGAGGGGGACCUUCGGGCCUCUUGCCAUC